GUGAAUCAUCAAAUUUUUGAACGCAAAUUGCACUCUUUGGUAUUCCGAAGAGUAUGCUUGUUUGAGGGUUGUUUCAAUAAAAUCGUUUUUUUAAAAAUGGAUGUGAGUUCUCUAAGGUUUCUUGAUCUUGGUAACUUUAAAUUCAUAUUAACGAUAUCUUUGGUAUGAUAUUGGAAAUGGUUAUAUUCUUUCUACUCGUGAGCUUCAUUAACAACCGAUUACCUGUCGUUACGUUGUAUCAUUGGCGGAAUCCUUUUGAUUGGACUGCAUGAUAAAAUU
rnacentral:misc_RNA from 1 species